rnacentral:rRNA from 1 species
AGAGUUUGAUCAUGGCUCAGAACGAACGCUGGCGGCAGGCCUAACACAUGCAAGUCGAACGAGAAGCCACCUUCGGGUGGUGGACAGUGGCAGACGGGUGAGUAACGCGUGGGAACGUGCCUUUCGGUUCGGGAUAACCCAGGGAAACUUGGGCUAAUACCGGAUACGCCCUUCGGGGGAAAGAUUCAUCGCCGAAAGAUCGGCCCGCGUCGGAUUAGCUAGUUGGUGGGGUAAAAGCCUACCAAGGCGACGAUCCGUAGCUGGUCUGAGAGGAUGAUCAGCCACACUGGGACUGAGACACGGCCCAGACUCCUACGGGAGGCAGCAGUGGGGAAUAUUGGACAAUGGGCGAAAGCCUGAUCCAGCCAUGCCGCGUGGGUGAAGAAGGCCUUAGGGUUGUAAACCCCUUUCAGCGGGGAAGAUAAUGACGGUACCCGCAGAAGA